rnacentral:lncRNA from 1 species
UAGUGCGGACAACCGUCGGUCUCGCGUGGUGAGCCGUGUGGAUCAGAACCCGCGUCCCCGUCUGAUCCGUGGACCAGGAAAUUGGCUUUCCGUGUAGUGGUGGCAGCAGAAACGAAUUGAGGGCAGGACCGAGAUUCUUCUCGGCUAUGGCGUGUGUCAUUUGGAAGCUGAAGACCCGGGGACGGAGGCAACUAGCGCCGCCGGCGAGCCGCCAUGGAGUUUCUGGUGCAACCAAUUAGCAGGUGCGUGGAUCUUCUUUUUCCAGGGAUGCUGCCCCCAUUUUGUAGCCCUCUUGUUAGCUGAUCCAGAGAUGGAUUUGUUGCAAGAUUCAGAUUUAGUCUGCUUGAGGAGGUAGGGGAGCCGGUUCCUGUGGCUGUCAAUGUCUCUGUCGUGGCGGAUCUGCAAGUGGCACUACAGGCGGAGCGGGAGGCAGCGCAACGGCGGUGGACAGCGGCGAAGCACAAAUCUUCUUGGCAAAGGAGGCGGCGGCGAACAGAAGGGAGAGCUCGCCACCAAGGUCGGAGCUGUCGACGGGGAAGAUGAAUCCCCAAGCACUGGGGUGGAACAAAAGGUUGGUGAAGUAGAAACUUUGACUUCCAUCCGAUAUUAUGUGACUUAGAAAAUGGAAGUAGAAAUGACUGAAUAUAUCAUGCAGUUAGAGCAAGUGCGGGUUGCUGUCUGCAUUAAUAAAUUUCCCGCUGUAUGUGCCUGUGUUUGCACACUGAUUUGUUCUCUGCAUUCACAAAAUUCAGGCGCCUGUAGUCUCUGAAAGUACGGAUGCAGGCUAAUUACUCUCUGUAGUGAAAAGAUUUCUGAUUUAUGUACUGGUAGUUGCAGACUGUUUGCUCCCUGUAUUUAGAUAAUUUUUACUAUACGAGAGCCUAUGUUUUCAGGCUGGUUGAUCUCUGCAGUAAGGAAAUUACUAAAUUAUGUACUGGUGUUUGCAGUAUGUUUGGUGUAUGAAUUUUGAAAAUUCAUAGAUAUGUGCCUGUGUUGGUAGGAUGAUUGCUCCCUGCGAUUAGAAAAAAUCAUGCUAUAUUUGCCUUUGUUUUGUAUGUUGAUUGCUUUAUAGGUAAGAUCGAUGAACAAAAUCCAUCUUCUUACUCUGCAUAUAUGUGCAUAUUUUUUAUUUACUAAAGGUGGAGAGGCAUCCCAAUGAUAGCCACAACAAGUUCAGGAAGAAUCUUGGAGCACCUUCUGUCAAGGAUUUGAACUUUUGAAGCCAUCUCUGUUCUCUUUCGGCUCCGCUUGAUGGAUGACCAAAAGUAGCUUUAUAUCCCCAUGAAAGUCUCGAAUGUUCCAGUAAGUAUUGUUCAUGUACAUUAUGAAAAUGCUAUUCGGUUGAGUCAUGUUUUUAUUCUGUCGAAUGAUGAUUUUGUUAGUAUAGUCGACAGUAAAAAGUUUAAACCCAUUAGAGAUUAUUAAACAAAUGUUCACCGGAAAACAGAUUGUGAGGGUUUGAUUGAGAUAUGGAAAAGCCACAAGAAGAAUCGUGCUUCUGUUCUACCUAUUCUCCUUGAAAUCCAAGAGCUCGGUGGUUCUUUUUUUAUUUUCUAGUUCAGCUUUGUAAGGCCUGAGUUAAAUUUAGCUGCACAUUUAACUGCCAAACAUGCUUCUAGCUCCUUGCCGGAGUGUGCGCGGUUCUACUAGGUCCCGGCAUCUCUGAACAAUU